GCCGGCGUAGCUCAGAUGGUUAGAGCAGUGGAAUCAUAAUCCAUUUGUCGGGGGUUCGAGUCCCUCCGCCGGCA
rnacentral:tRNA from 1 species